UCCAGAUGCCAACCUGUUCGUUUGUGAGAGUCGAGGGAAGGGUGUGGGUGCUGCGGACUGCCUGUCUACACGAGUGCCGAAAGGGUGCUCCGAACGGCCGUGUUUAUGAUUCACUGUAGAACCUAGGCUUGUCUUGUCUACCUUUAGCUCCGACCUUCCUGACCUUGACUUUAACAGCCGGCAUGGAGGUCAGCAAGAGCACUUCUGCCUUCGUCUUCUUUGCUUUUUUGGGCGUCGUGGCCAGCUUAAAGAACAUAAGAGCGUCAGUCAUCACAGCCACUUUCAUCCAGUUGGAAUGGGAGAGUGACAAGAACGAGAAUGGUUUGAUACCUGAAUAUGCCGUCAGUUGGGGAAGGAACUCUUAUUUACAGACCAACACCACAACUGCGAGACUAAUGGAUCUAGAACCCGGCAGAAGGUACACCAUCACGAUAGAGAGAAUUAACCAGGGAAACGAUAGUCGGCUGUUGAGACAGAUCGAGGUUCGGACAGCGUCGCUGAAGUUGUCCCUGCAGCGACCGAACUAUCUCCGGGUAGCGUGGGACUCGACCUUCCAGAAUCUGAAAGCAGUUCAAGUGACGUACAGAGUGGAGUUGGCAAUAGGAUCCAGAGUGCCUUCAAGUUCCUACACAUCCAACGAGAUCAAAAUUGUGAACUCGACUACGGCUAAAAUAUUGGAAACGCUCGUCCCAUACUAUGUAAGAAUGACAGUCUGCCUUCAGGCUCGACAGCAGAGAGGUGGAUGGUCCAAGAAAAUAUGUGAUUAUUUCGCAACAAAUCCUGGAACGCCAGGACCUGUAAGAAACCUGAAGAUUACCCCGGAUGUUCAUUCCUUAGGACUGACCUGGGAAGACCCGGAUGACACUCCUCCCACAGGAGAACUGGACAGGGUGAAUAUAGAAGUGAGCAACACAUGCAAGACAUUGCUCAUGUUUCAUAAGAAUAUUCAUAAUUUGGUUCGCGACUACGGAAAGAGGUCCUUCACCGUCACUCUUCUCCAACCCGAUUCAGACUAUACUAUUCAGGUGAGCGCCUUAAACAAAGGAUAUGGAAACUACAAAGGUGUGACAUUAAACGCACACACUCUUCCUGGGGUCCCGUCGUCGCCACGAGCUCUCCUUGCCCUGCCCUGGAGUAGCACACAGGUCCUCCUUUCGUGGGCGCCGCCAGACGAACCUAUGGGUACCCUUCUCAACUACACCGUCUGGGUUAAUGGAAAGGUCAACACAUGCAAAGAGAACACGCUCCAAUUGCAUCGGUGCAAGAUGGCCUCACCCCUGAAGAGAACUAUCUCGCUGAAGUGGCAGCGUGCAACAAACUUCAUUGCGGCAGAGUGGUUGCAAAAGAGGUCGCCAUGCCAUCUGCAAGAGUCCUCCCAGUGUGGAUCCCAGUCCUAUUCGCCUCGCUUCUGUUCAUCGUCCUCGGGCCUUUGCUCUUCAUGCUGUGGCGAAGCAAGAAAGUGCUGGAGCGUUUAAAUGAAAACAAAGAUAUUAGACGACCUGGAGAAGAAGCAGUUUUGGCCACAGAUAGGCCAGCCGAGAACCAGACGUCAAAUCCUGAUUUGCAUGAGUACGAAAGUCCAUACACCCUGAAUGUUAUUUACAAACCUCAAGUGAGCCAAGAUAAUACUCUUUUAGGCGAUAAUCAGAGG
rnacentral:misc_RNA from 1 species